rnacentral:lncRNA from 10 species
AAGCAGAAAAAAGUGACUCUUAACCAGAAAAAUGAAACUAUAAAUACAAACACACUCAAAGUCACAAGUGAUGCCCUGGCUCCCACUCUUGUUCCCUCGACAGUCCUUUCUCUGGGCAGCAAGCCAGAGUGGUCCUCCUAAGACAUAAGUCAGACCACGUUUCUUUUAAGCUAAAGCCAUCCAACCGUUCCUCUAACUCAUUCUAAGUUGGAUCUGCCCCUGGCUACCUCUCUGCUUCAUCUACUACUUUCCCACUUGUGCCCUCCACUAUAGACUUUCGUGCUGCUCUAGGAACAUAUAAUAAGUAUGUUCCCACC